rnacentral:lncRNA from 1 species
UUAAGAGCAACAACAUUCUCUUGGAUGAAGAAUUCCACCCACGAGUGGCUGACUUUGGUUUAGCGAAGACGAUGCAGCGCCAAGGAGAGGCAGAAGAUGGCAAUGUCAUGUCUCGUAUUGCUGGCUCCUAUGGUUACAUUGCUCCUGGUAAACAACAUUCAAUAGCUUCAGUUGAUGACCUAUAUAUAUUUGAUUAUGUACUCAUAUUUGUUAUAUUUUUGAACAACAGAGUAUGGGUAUACAAUGAAGGUGACAGAGAAGAGCGAUGUGUAUAGCUUUGGAGUGGUGUUGAUGGAAUUAGUGACAGGGAAGCGACCGAAUGAUGCAUGCUUUGGAGAGAACAAAGAUAUUGUGAAAUGGAUGACAGAGAUUUCAUUGUCAGAAUGCGAUGAAGAGAAUGGGUUAAGUUUAGAGGAGAUUGUUGAUGAAAAGUUGGACCCAAAGACAUGUGUAGUAGAAGAGAUAGUGAAGAUUUUGGAUGUGGCAAUUCUUUGUACCUCUGCUUUGCCUCUCAAUAGACCAUCAAUGCGAAGAGUGGUUGAGCUGUUAAAGGACACCAAAUUGCCUCAUUCCAAGUCGUGAACUUUGCAUCUUUU